UAUACACACACACACACACAAAUAAUGUGUAUAUAUAAAACCACACAAAGUGGGUUUUGUUGUAUUUUCUAUUCCGUUGUCUUGGAGUCCACUCUAUGACAACGGAAUGGAACGGAAUGGAAUGGAAUGGAAUCUUCAAGGCCAAGUUCCAGAACAAAUUAGAUUCAUCUGUUCAUUGCGAUUCUGACCACAAGACAGAGAAGAUGCAUAUGUUUUGUGAGAGAAUUAAUCAGCAACGUUUACCACAUGGAGUCGUUAACCGGCAAAUAAACAAACAGCCUUUUUCAAGGCUUCCAGCCUAUUUACAGGCAUCCCACCAGCCUUUUUAAAGAUACCAUCAAUCUUUUUAAAGACCACACAAGUGUUAUUUAACAUGUACCGUGGAAACAACCAGAGAAUUGGAGCUGGCGCUUCACGUCUCGGGACUCCUCCCAACGGAUACAAGGUGAACAUGGCACUUUCUCGUGCCCAGGAUGAAGCACUACCUGAAAAGGAAGGUGAGCGAACUCACCGCUCACACUGAAACUGGGAAGUACAGUUUGACCAACCUGUUAAAAGGCAAAUAUAUUGCCUAUGAGCAGACAAGAACAGAAAGAAGUUGUCACACCUCAUCAGGGAGAACAAGGGUUUGUCUCUGAAGCUCCACAGAGACAACCGAACAACUCGUUGUCAAAAAUGCUGAACCCACGGUCCAGCAGCAGGCCAACAACCAAUAGUUGGAAGAAGAACACAAACUGCUAAAGAGCAAGACAGAGGCUCUGGCUGAGGUUAUCGGGGAAAACAAGAGUUUGUUUCUGAAGCUCUUUGAGUACGGCGAACAACUCUUCGUCAAAAGUGCUGAACUCACGGUCAACAAAGGGACCUGGCAGCAGAAGUUGGAGGAAAAGACAUUCAAGGAACUGGAUUACCAACAACAGUCCUUGGAGUAAGUAAAAGGGUUACUCUCCACCAACAUUUCUCUUCAAGAGGAGCUGCACAAGCAGCAGGCCAACAACCACCAGUUGGUAAAAGAACACAAACUGCUAAAGAUCAAGACAGAGGCUCUGGAUGAGACUAUCAGGGAGAACAAAGGUCUCUAUCUCUGAAGCUCACCGAGACCACAAAACAACAUUCUGUCAAAAGUGCUGAACUCAGGGUCAACAACGAGACCUGGCAGCAGUUGGAAGCAGAAAACAAACGAAUGAAGACCCAGAGGGAUUCUCUGGCUGCUUUAAAAAAAGAGCCACCACCAAGAGGAUACCCACCACGAGAUGGUCACAAGCAGUGGUUUCACUGAGUUGUGCCUGAUCUCUAAGAUCCAACAAACGGAGGAUACCAUCCCCCAAAAAAUAUAUAUAUAUCGCCCCCCCAUUAAAAAAAAUGAAAAACGCAAACUGCCCCCCCCAUUUUCCCCCGGCCAACGCCGCCACCCCCAACAC
ensembl:lncRNA